AGAGGGAAGCAACAGAGGAGGUCAGAGUAACAACCCAAGAAGGACUUGACCCAUGAUUACUGGCUCUGAAGAGGGGGAAGGGGGCUGCCGGUCAAGGAAUGUGGGCAACCUAUUGGAGCUGAAGAAGAUUUAGAUUUUGCCCCGAGUCUCACAUGCCUUAAAACCAGCUGGUAUGCUCCAGAGUAGGAUGUAACCUCCAAGAGGUCUGGUCUGCCUCCCAAUCCCAGAGUUGUACUAUUAUGAUUUGGAUCGGAUGUCCCCACCAAAGGCUCAUGUGUUGAAGAUCUGGUUCCCAAUGUGGCAAUGUUCAGAGUUACAACAUAUCAGGAGAAAACUGCAGGACUCCUUUAAAUUGCUUUUCUCAGUUAUUUUGUCAUGGUGAUAGAAAGCUGACUAACAUAUUAUCUACCUUCAAGUCUUAAAAAAUGUGGAAAGAAUAAAAGAAUGAACACAUGUCCAUUGCAUUGACAAGAUGGGAGAAACCUGAAUAAAUGUAAUUCUUAAAUU